GGUUUUUUGUCUUGGACAAAGUAAUGAGUUGGCGCGAGCUAAUGAAUUAGCGCGAGCUAACUAUUUCAAUGGAGGGAAGAAUAUAUUCUGAAAAGGAGAGUGUGAGUGUUUAUGGAUUUACUCCUAUGGCCACUGUAAUCUUCCUGUGAUUUUGGUGUCAUAAUAACCCUGGAAAUUAAGCUACAGGGGAGUAAUUUGGCAAAGAGAGAACACAAUCAGCCAUGGUUUGCUUAAUCAGUGUUUUUGGAAGAAGGCCCCUGAAGCAUAACCAAACCAUAAUCAAACAAAGCACCAUAUAACUUCAUAUGGAGAUAUGCAAGCCUGUUACAGCAGUGUAAAUAUUUGAACAUCUUAUGGGGAACAAUGGAUAUUCGCCUAUAUUGAUCUUUUUUGCUAUACUGCCUAAAUGGCAAAAGACAACGUAUGAAGCCAGAUAUACACAGGAUGAAAACAAGAAUGACUUCCAACAAUGUAAAAUUCUUGAGAAUGGUGUUGAUGUAUAUUUAUAUACACUGUUAAACUUGAAAGAAGGUCUACACGGCAGCCCACUUCCUGAACUAAGAAGACAUCCGCAUCGAGGCAAAAUGAAAUGGGAUCACAGACAGCUGUUAACAGCCCAGCUUUCCUUGAAGAAUGGCAUCUCCCACCGGCAAGGCUUGCUAAAAUGUACCCGAACAGUUCUCCAAUAUGCUGGAAGUGCAAAAAAAUAGUAUAUGGAACGUAUUACCAUUUAUGGUGGACAUGUCAAUCUACAAAAAUUAUUGGGACAAAAUCAAAAAAUGGCUGGAAGAAAUAACUGACCAACCCAUAGACUGGAAACCAGACACCUUUUUGCUGGGAAUACUCAAUAGGAAAUAUAGUAAAAAAUAAGAUAUCUAAUUCUACACAUAAUAACAGCUGCAAGAAUAUCUUAUGCACAGAACUGGAAAAAUGAGAACAUUCCAUCGGAGAAGGAAGUGAUAAGGAAAAUUCUGGACUGUGCUGAGAAGAAUAAAUUAACAAAGGAGAUAAAAGAUAAAAGAAAAAGAAGAUACAGAAUAUUAUAUAAUAUGGAAUAAAUUGUAUAAUUGGAUAGAAAUUAAAAAUUGUAAAUGACGAAAAAGGGGGAAAGGUCACACACACACACAAAAGGUAGUGCAUGAAAGAAAAUGUAUUGUUAUAAUGACCGGUAUGAAUGAAUAUAUAUAUAUAAAUAAGGGAUAAUGGGACAAAAAGAAAAUGAAAUUAAAGAAAAUGAAAGGGGAAAUGUAAAUAAUAGAGGAUUACCGAUACGAAGCUGAUAUAAAAAA